rnacentral:rRNA from 1 species
GAUGAACGCUGGCGGCGUGCCUAAUACAUGCAAGUCGAGCGAACAGACGAGGAGCUUGCUCCUCUGACGUUAGCGGCGGACGGGUGAGUAACACGUGGAUAACCUACCUAUAAGACUGGGAUAACUUCGGGAAACCGGAGCUAAUACCGGAUAAUAUAUUGAACCGCAUGGUUCAAUAGUGAAAGACGGUUUUGCUGUCACUUAUAGAUGGAUCCGCGCCGCAUUAGCUAGUUGGUAAGGUAACGGCCUACCAAGGCAACGAUGGGUAGCCGGCCUGAGAGGGGGAACGGAAACACUGGGACGGAGAUAGGGCGCAGACUGCGAAGGGAGGAAGCAGUGGGGAAUAUUACAAAAUGGGCGCAAGACGGAGGCAGAGAUGCCGAGUGAGGGACGACGGCCGUAGGGUUGGAAACAUAUUUCAGCACAGACGAAGCGCAAGGGACGGUAUGUGCAGAAGAAGGACAGGCCAACUAAGUG